rnacentral:rRNA from 1 species
UGGGGAAUUUUCCGCAAUGGGCGAAAGCCUGACGGAGCAAUACCGCGUGAGGGAGGAAGGCUUUUGGGUUGUAAACCUCUUUUCUCAAGGAAGAAGAUCUGACGGUACUUGAGGAAUCAGCAUCGGCUAACUCCGUGCCAGCAGCCGCGGUAAUACGGAGGAUGCAAGCGUUAUCCGGAAUGAUUGGGCGUAAAGCGUCUGCAGG